UGUAACAAGGUCUCCGUUGGUGAACCAGCGGAGGGAUCAUUACAGAGUUGAAAAACUCCAACCCCUGUGAACCUACCUUUACUGUUGCUUCGGCGGACGAUGGCCCCAGGGCCGGACGCCGCCGGAGGUUACAAACCCUGAAUUUUUAGUGUAUCUCUGAGCACAAAAACAAAUAAUUAAAACUUUCAACAACGGAUCUCUUGGUUCUGGCAUCGAUGAAGAACGCAGCGAAAUGCGAUAAGUAAUGUGAAUUGCAGAAUUCAGUGAAUCAUCGAAUCUUUGAACGCACAUUGCGCCCGCCGGUAUUCCGGCGGGCAUGCCUGUCCGAGCGUCAUUUCACCACUCAAGCCCAGCUUGGUGUUGGGGCACCCGGCCGCCCGGCGGUCGGGGCCCCCAAGAACAUCGGCGGUCUCGCUGGGACCCUGAACGCAGUAACUCGCGGUAAAACGCGCUUCGUUCGGAGGCUUUUCCCGGCGGGCUCCAGCCGUUAAAACCCCCUAAAAUUCUUAGGUUGACCUCGGAUCAGGUAGGAAUACCCGCUGAACUUAAGCAUAUCAUAA
rnacentral:rRNA from 1 species